rnacentral:rRNA from 1 species
GAAAGGCGUGCGAUACAGGGUGACAGCCCCGUACACAAAAAUGCACAUGCUGUGAGCUCGAUGAGUAGGGCGGGACACGUGGUAUCCUGUCUGAAUAUGGGGGGACCAUCCUCCAAGGCUAAAUACUCCUGACUGACCGAUAGUGAACCAGUACCGUGAGGGAAAGGCGAAAAGAACCCCGGCGAGGGGAGUGAAAAAGAACCUGAAACCGUGUACGUACAAGCAGUGGGAGCACGCUUAGGCGUGUGACUGCGUACCUUUUGUAUAAUGGGUCAGCGACUUAUAUUCUGUAGCAAGGUUAACCGAAUAGGGGAGCCGAAGGGAAACCGAGUCUUAACUGGGCGUUAAGUUGCAGGGUAUAGACCCGAAACCCGGUGAUCUAGCCAUGGGCAGGUUGAAGGUUGGGUAACACUAACUGGAGGACCGAACCGACUAAUGUUGAAAAAUUAGCGGAUGACUUGUGGCUGGGGGUGAAAGGCCAAUCAAACCGGGAGAUAGCUGGUUCUCCCCGAAAGCUAUUUAGGUAGCGCCUCGUGAAUUCAUCUCCGGGGGUAGAGCACUGUUUCGGCAAGGGGGUCAUCCCGACUUACCAACCCGAUGCAAACUGCGAAUACCGGAGAAUGUUAUCACGGGAGACACACGGCGGGUGCUAACGUCCGUCGUGAAGAGGGAAACAACCCAGACCGCCAGCUAAGGUCCCAAAGUCAUGGUUAAGUGGGAAACGAUGUGGGAAGGCCCAGACAGCCAGGAUGUUGGCUUAGAAGCAGCCAUCAUUUAAAGAAAGCGUAAUAGCUCACUGGUCGAGUCGGCCUGCGCGGAAGAUGUAACGGGGCUAAACCAUGCACCGAAGCUGCGGCAGCGACGCUGAUGCGUUGUUGGGUAGGGGAGCGUUCUGUAAGCCUGCGAAGGUGUGCUGUGAGGCAUGCUGGAGGUAUCAGAAGUGCGAAUGCUGACAUAAGUAACGAUAAAGCGGGUGAAAAGCCCGCUCGCCGGAAGACCAAGGGUUCCUGUCCAACGUUAAUCGGGGCAGGGUGAGUCGACCCCUAAGGCGAGGCCGAAAGGCGUAGUCGAUGGGAAACAGGUUAAUAUUCCUGUGCUUGGUGUUACUGCGAAGGGGGGACGGAGAAGGCUAUGUUGGCCGGGCGACGGUUGUCCCGGUUUAAGCGUGUAGGCUGGUUUUCCAGGCAAAUCCGGAAAAUCAAGGCUGAGGCGUGAUGACGAGGCACUACGGUGCUGAAGCAACAAAUGCCCUGCUUCCAGGAAAAGCCUCUAAGCAUCAGGUAACAUCAAAUCGUACCCCAAACCGACACAGGUGGUCAGGUAGAGAAUACCAAGGCGCUUGAGAGAACUCGGGUGAAGGAACUAGGCAAAAUGGUGCCGUAACUUCGGGAGAAGGCACGCUGAUAUGUAGGUGAAGUCCCUCGCGGAUGGAGCUGAAAUCAGUCGAAGAUACCAGCUGGCUGCAACUGUUUAUUAAAAACACAGCACUGUGCAAACACGAAAGUGGACGUAUACGGUGUGACGCCUGCCCGGUGCCGGAAGGUUAAUUGAUGGGGUCAGCGCAAGCGAAGCUCUUGAUCGAAGCCCCGGUAAACGGCGGCCGUAACUAUAACGGUCCUAAGGUAGCGAAAUUCCUUGUCGGGUAAGUUCCGACCUGCACGAAUGGCGUAAUGAUGGCCAGGCUGUCUCCACCCGAGACUCAGUGAAAUUGAACUCGCU